AGUGGGAUAGCUGGGUCAAAUGGUGGUUCCAUUCCAAGUUUUGCUAAGGAAUCUCCAUACUGCUUUCUAAAGUUAUUGCACCAUUUUGCAGUCCCACCAGCAAC
rnacentral:pre_miRNA from 1 species